rnacentral:piRNA from 1 species
UGAGGUGAGACGGUCACAUGGUGAUGA